GACAUAUUUCACUGAAGCACGUGCCCCACUGUUGAUCUGCAGUGCCCCAGUAAAAAUUUCACCAAUAAAAAAAAACGCUUCAGAGUUUUAAGUCUACAUAACAUAGACAACAGCGCACAUACUACUUAGUAUGGUAAUUGAUUGCUACUGUAUUCACUCCACGAAACAAUGAGCACAUGGCUAAUUAAUAUGGUAAUUUAUUCACGUGUGGAUCGAGACUUCAGUUGAGAGAGAGAGAGAGAGAGAAAGAGAGAGAGAGAGAGAGAGAGAGAGGAUGAGAAUCACUGCUGAGAUGGAUAUCAGAAAGUUAUUCGCCUGCAGCAGAGAAGAAGCAGCAGGAAUAAUAUAGGCCACAGGCAGAGUUCGCACAUCUUUGGGCAACUUUCUAAAAUCUUUUAGAAAACCUUCAACACCAUCCUGGAGAGAGUAAAUAUCCAAGUCCGCCCAUAAAGUCUGAGACCACUUGUUUUUUGCAGCCUAAGAAACAAAACCAAGAUCCACAAAAUUACAGAAGCUGAUACUGUUUCCAGUGGCUAAGACACUGCUCUACAGAGACCAGCAAUUGCUGAAUGUUCUGAGACAAGGCAAGGGCACUGUCGUUAAUUUUAGGGUGAUUAUAUAUUUCAUCGAAGAAGCUAAACGUCACCAAGUCAUCAGCACCAACAUGUUGGGGAGGGCACUCAACGCAAGUCCCAUGAAUCCAGCGUACAAACUCCUGGAAUGCAACCAAACCCAAACAUGGAGGUGGACAUAUCAGGUCAUACAGCCAUUGUUAAAUGUGUACACUUUGGCAGUGGUUAACAGAAGAUCUUACCUUAGUACUGUCGACACAAUCUCUGAUACAUUGCAUUAGUAGCCGGUUGAUCUCAUUUAUUCUGGGCUGCAACAAAAUCCUGGGGGGCGAAAGUAUGGCAUCAAUACGGAAGAGAGGGGUUGUCCCCAUCAAGGCAGUAUUGAAGGCCUUGAUAUUCCUGCACGUGACAGCAAACAGAAAGUCUAUUAUAAAUGAUAAGCUACAUGUCACACUAUUGUGUAACAUUCUGAGCACAAUACUAGUUACAGCUCCCAAGAUAUUACCUCAACAACAUGUUUACGAGUGCAUCGUGCACCCUGUGUUCCCAGUAUGUGUAAUAACCUGACAUACUCUGGCACUUGCCAGAGUUAGUUUCCAUGAUCAAAUGCUCCACCUUUGUAAUGACUGGUCCAAUGUCAGCAUAUUUGCUUUUCAACAAGUUCACUGUCUUGUUACGCUCUCGAUCAAUACAUUCAUAAAACUCCCUGACACCUAAAAACACAAAGUAUUGAAAAAUGCAUAUGAAAGUAAUUUGCAAUUAAUGCCAUUUGAUUAGAAUAUUAAUUGUACUUGGUAAAAGGUCUGUUUUAUCUGGAGCUGGGCAUUUCAGGAGAUCUGCCACUUGUAUACAUUGCAGUUUGUUUUCAAUAUCUGUCUCGUUGUUCUGUAUUUGACUGACAGUUGACUCAAACUUUGAGAGCUCUGGGUUGCCAUGGUUGAUGAAAUCGCCGAUGGCUAAAUUAAAACAUACGGAAAUGAUUUUCUCCCAUCCAAAAUACACAUUUAUAAAGUCACAGCAACAUUUUAGUACCAUACCUAAAGAGUUCCAGUUGAGUCUUUUACA